AUGUUUUCCAGGCAACUGAAAAGAACUUUCAAGUUCGUUUCCAGCAACAACAGAGAGAUGUGCUUCAGUAGAGGAUCAAAUGAUCAGAGAGAGGAGAUGAACCUGGGCACCAGCCGAGCCCAGCAGCAGCUCCUGGACGUGGGAGAGGAGGAGCGCCUGCGCCUGGAUGCAGUGGCCGGAGGUGGGGACAGAGGUGGAGGUGGAGGAACAGCCUGUGCUCGCCUCCACCUGGGCGCGGGCCAGGAGGAGCCGAUGCGCGUGGGCGACAGCAGAGCACCAGCUCUACUCCGGCGGCGGCAGCGCCUGGGCAGGGGGCGGAGGAGGUGGAGGGUGGGGGCGGAGGUGGAAGACGAUGGAGGUAGAAGACGAUCGAUCGGAUUCAAAUUUUGA
rnacentral:rRNA from 1 species